rnacentral:rRNA from 1 species
GGAGUUUGGACCGUGUCUCAGUUCCAUUGUGGCCGUUCAUCCUCUCAGACCGGCUACCGAUCGUCGGCUUGGUAGGCUCUUACCCCACCAACUACCUAAUCGGACGCAGGCUCCUCGCAAAGCGAUAAAUCUUUGGUACAAAAUUCAUGCAAACUCUGUACUUCAUUCGGUAUUAGCGCCUCUUUCGAAACGUUGUCCCCAUCUUUGCGGCAGAUUACCUGCGCUUUACUCACCCGUCCGCCACUAAGUAUCCCAGUUGAGUCAAUCCAAAGCAAGCUUCUUCAAUCCUCGGGCGGAAUACUCCGUUCGACUUGCAUGUGUUAAGCACGCCGCCAGCGUUCAUC